rnacentral:lncRNA from 1 species
CACAGGAUGUGACUUUGCAGACCAGAAAUGUGUUUUUCUUCAGUUCCUAACAAAUCAAAGCUCUCCUCUUUAAAAAGCUAGACUUUAGCUUAGUAUCUGAUGGGUGUAUCUGCUCUUCUCAACAGAAUAUGCUGACACUUCUGUCAAAGUGGAACUCCUUGUCACGGAAGGCCUGUGACCAUCAGCCUGACAACUGAGUAGCAGAUGAGGAAACUUAAGACUGAAAGAGGUUGAAUUACUUGCCCAGCAUCAUGUCCCUAAUCAGCAGCAAAACCUAAAUUUAAUGAUGGUUUCAUUUCAUUUUGCAUUAUAAAUGUUUCAGGGAGGUUUUUCA